rnacentral:rRNA from 1 species
UGAGGAAUAUUGGUCAAUGGACGAGAGUCUGAACCAGCCAAGUCGCGUGAGGGAUGAAGGUUCUAUGGAUCGUAAACCUCUUUUAUAAGGGAAUAAAGUGACCCACGUGUGGGUUUUUGUAUGUACCUUAUGAAUAAGGAUCGGCUAACUCCGUGCCAGCAGCCGCGGUAAUACGGAGGAUCCGAGCGUUAUCCGGAUUUAUUGGGUUUAAAGGGUGCGUAGGCGGCCUUUUAAGUCAGCGGUGAAAGUCUGUGGCUCAACCAUAGAAUUGCCGUUGAAACUGGGAGGCUUGAGUAUGUUUGAGGCAGGCGGAAUGCGUGGUGUAGCGGUGAAAUGCUUAGAUAUCACGCAGAACCCCCGAUUGCGAAGGGCAGCCUGCCAAGCCAUGACUGACGCCGAUGCACGAAAAGCGUGGGGAUCAAACAGAUUAGAUACCC